rnacentral:rRNA from 1 species
GCCGUCAAUUCCUUUGAGUUUUAACUUUGCGGCCGUACUCCCCAGGCGGUCGACUUAUCGCGUUAGCUGCGCCACUAAGAUCUCAAGGAUCCCAACGGCUAGUCGACAUCGUUUACGGCGUGGACUACCAGGGUAUCUAAUCCUGUUUGCUCCCCACGCUUUCGCACCUCAGUGUCAGUAUCAGUCCAGGUGGUCGCCUUCGCCACUGGUGUUCCUUCCUAUAUCUACGCAUUUCACCGCUACACAGGAAAUUCCACCACCCUCUACCGUACUCUAGCUCAGUAGUUUUGGAUGCAGUUCCCAGGUUGAGCCCGGGGAUUUCACAUCCAACUUGCUGAACCACCUACGCGCGCUUUACGCCCAGUAAUUCCGAUUAACGCUUGCACCCUUCGUAUUACCGCGGCUGCUGGCACGAAGUUAGCCGGUGCUUAUUCUGUUGGUAACGUCAAAACAGCAAGGUAUUAACUUACUGCCCUUCCUCCCAACUUAAAGUGCUUUACAAUCCGAAGACCUUCUUCACACACGCGGCAUGGCUGGAUCAGGCUUUCGCCCAUUGUCCAAUAUUCCCCACUGCUGCCUCCCGUAGGAGUCUGGACCGUGUCUCAGUUCCAGUGUGACUGAUCAUCCCCUCAGACCAGUUACGGAUCGUCGCCUUGGUAGGCCUUUACCCCACCAACUAGCUAAUCCGACCUAGGCUCAUCUGAUAGCGUGAGGUCCGAAGAUCCCCCACUUUCUCCCUCAGGACGUAUGCGGUAUUAGCGCCCGUUUCCGGACGUUAUCCCCCACUACCAGGCAGAUUCCUAGGCAUUACUCACCCGUCCGCCGCUGAAUCCAGGAGCAAGCUCCCUUCAUCCGCUCGACUUGCAUGUGUUAGGCCUGCCGCCAGCGUUCAAUCUGAGCCAGGAUCAAACCCUC